rnacentral:misc_RNA from 1 species
UGGUCGGCCUUGAAGCCUAACUAAUUAAAAACAAAUGUUCAAUAUGAUAGCUUUACAACUAUUAAUUGAAGAUUUCUCUGGUAUAUUAUGCUUUUAAAAAUGUUUGAAACACAUAAUAUUUGUGAAUUUUAUGGAAAAUCAUAAAGUAACGAUAACCAAGCUAUUGAUUAACUUAUUAAAAUGUGUGCUAAUUAUACAGGUUACAAUUGGUUGUUGCUAUAAAUCUAAACUAUAUCUUAUUUGAGAUUAUUAAGAAAUGAAGAGCUGUAAUUGUAUUUUUUAAACACCUUGCCUUUUGAACUUGUGUCACUUGUGUUUGAUUAAAAUUUAUAUCCAUUUGGAAUCAAAACCAGUUUAUAUGUGUAUUACACCGCCAUUUUUCCCCAUUCCUUCUCAAUAGUUAUACAGUAUGCUUGUUCAUGAAGAAUGAAAACAACUGGCAGAUACAGUAUAUCAAUUAAAAACAUGCAGAAAUUUGAAAAUUUAUCAAGUAUUCACCUGUUUCAGACAUUUUUACACCCACCCAAUGAAAAUUAGUUUGCUCUAUAGUGUGUUUUUUGUAUUUUCCAGCAUAUAUAGACUGCAUUUUUAUUAUAUAUUUAUUCACCAAAUUUUUGUAUACAUAUAUUUUUAGUUUGUUUUCAUAGAAAGUCAGGGAAACAUUUGAUCAUGCUGUCAAUUUCUUUUUGUUAAGAGUUAAUUUUGUUUGUUUAAAAAAUGGUUCCAAAUCUAUUUUGUCAAAUUUUUUGCAAAACAUAUUACCACUAAUUUUUCUGUGCUACAUUUUGAAAGAAAACUAUCCCAUGUACUAGCUCAAUAUUAAUCGAAAAUAGAAAUAAAAUUAUAUCAAUAUGGAAUCUAGUUAUUCUUGGUAGGAUUUUUUUUCCGUCCAGAGUGCACUUCAACAAAUACAGGGUAUCAUACGCAAGAUGUAUAUACUAGUAGAAUAUUCAUUUAAGUUUCUUUUAAAAUACAUAUAAUUUUACUUUUAACAAGAAUUAUUGCCCUCUACCCUGAAAUUUAUUAUGGUACUUAAAACAAAGCAACCAUUUAUCUGUAGUAAACUAUAUACAUGUACUAAUUUUACUUUGUGUAUAGAUCUUGUAUAGCAAGCAGAAUACAUGUACAUACAAGUACAUGUAAUUGUGUCUAUGUACAAAAAUUAUACUUGAUUAAUAAAGACAUAAAUUCAUU